AGGAAGGAGGGAUGCUGUGAAUGGAGCGUGAAAGGAACAUUAUUAUGAGUCAGAGAAUAGAGAGAUACGAGGCCAGAAACAAAAAAGGGACGGGGGACUGUGACACAUGGGAUGGAGUGAAGAGAAGAGACGAUGAACACAGGAUGUGCCAAGAACCAUAUCUCCUUUACCGCGAUGAACAUGCCCAAUCCCUACACCAAUGAUUGGCCAGACCUACAGACAGUAAGGACAGAGUCUCCGGAGACCACCAGGAUUCUCUAGAGGUAUUCAGGAGACACAGCUUCACCAUCCCCUGCUCCUCUCAGCCACAGUACCCGUGAGGCUCCUUCCUCCUCGUGUUUUCCGAAUCCCGACACAACCCAGAUCCAGACUCAGCCAGCUGUCAUUCACUCUGCUGCCUUCCAGUUCCGGCUGCAGAUGACUACCAAUAACUUAAUUACAUCUGUGUUUAUGAGAUCUCUGUUUUUCUCUCAUAACUUCUCCUGUGAGAGUGCCAUCCUUUCACUCUCCCUCACUGUCAAGUGAACACCAAGUACACAUAGAAUUUUGAUGAAUGUUCUUUCCUUGGGUCGAUCUGAUGAAUAAAAAUCUCUUAUUAAAUGUGUUUCUGUUGCUGCCUCUCCCUCUUCACUGACAGCUUUCAUCAUCUGACUUGUAGUAGUGCUUCUGAUGUUAGUGACAGCCACCAUUGCCACCUAUC